rnacentral:lncRNA from 1 species
CUUACUCUGUAGGGUGCAGCUGCAAGCCAGGACACCCAAUGGUCGAGCUUUGCAUUGUGGUCUGAGAAUGACGAGGCCCCCCUGGCCUGCAUGGCUCCUGCGGACCAGCCUCCUCCUGGUGGGAUUGGGAACCAGGGUGCGGACCCCAUGCAAGGAGUGACCGGGAGAUGGGGCCGUGGCCCCUCAGCAGCCUCCCGCAGAUCUCAUGGCAGGAAACACCAAGACCACAUGUGUGCAUAGGUGAAGGGACGUUUCUGUGAGAUUGGGUAAAAUUGGCUGUAGGGUUUGGCACCUUUUUGUGAAGAUCUGGCUGCAGGCGUACUGAGAGGAGUGGAGUCGGGGAAUUGGAGAUGGAGAGGCCCAGCUGGUCAGUGUGCUCGUGAGGGUGGAUGAUGGGCACCCCUGUCCUUGGCCCACCCCAUCGAUGCUCCGCCUGACUCCCCCCGUUCCCACCAGCAUGACAGACGUGACAGGAGGUCUGUGGCCUUGGGGUGCUUUUGCGGAAGGGAGUGCUUGCCCUGACUCCAAGAGUAUAGGAUUGGCCUCGCUGUCGGUCAUGUCUCCUCCAUUGGGAGCUCAGGACUUCCGUCUCCUGUCUCCUCGGGGACAGGGACCUGCUGAACUUGGUACAGUCCGUUUGUGGGCAGCAGCUGUCACUCCAGUGGUGAGCCUGAAGCCCUUGCAUGGAAUGUCCUGGGCAGCCAGCCCCUACUGUCACCACCAGCUG